rnacentral:rRNA from 1 species
GUGCCAGCAGCCGCGGUAAUACGGAGGGUGCAAGCGUUAAUCGGAAUUACUGGGCGUAAAGCGUGCGUAGGCGGCUCGUUAAGUCAGAUGUGAAAGCCCUGGGCUCAACCUGGGAACUGCAUUUGAAACUGGCGAGCUAGAGUUUGAGAGAGGUAAGUGGAAUUUCAGGUGUAGCGGUGAAAUGCGUAGAGAUCUGAAGGAACACCAGUGGCGAAGGCGACUUACUGGCUUAAAACUGACGCUGAGGUACGAAAGCGUGGGUAGCAAACAGGAUUAGAUACCCGCGUAGUCC